rnacentral:rRNA from 1 species
GACGGGGGGGGCUAGCGUUGUUCGGAAUUACUGGGCGUAAAGCGCACGUAGGCGGAUUUGUAAGUCAGGGGUGAAAUCCCGGGGCUCAACCUCGGAACUGCCUUUGAUACUGCAAGUCUUGAGUCCGAUAGAGGUGAGUGGAAUUCCUAGUGUAGAGGUGAAAUUCGUAGAUAUUAGGAAGAACACCAGUGGCGAAGGCGGCUCACUGGAUCGGUACUGACGCUGAGGUGCGAAAGCGUGGGGAGCAAACAGG